GUCCCUUUCCUCAUCUGUAGAAAAGGAGUAAUAAUACUGCUCUAUGACAGGGCUUGUGAGAAGAAGAAUGUGCUAAAGUGUGCAGGAAGCACUCUGUAGUGCUACGUAAGUACUGGUUACUACCUAAAAUCUCACUCCUUGAAGGUGUUAAAAAUGGUGUCUUUUGGCCACGCGUGGCAGCUCAGGCCUGUCAUACUAGCACUCUGGGAGGGUGAGAUGGGCAGAUUGCUUGAGGCCAAGAGUUCAAGAUCAGCCUGGCCAACAUGGUGAAAUCUCCUCUAUAUGAAAAAUACAAAUAUUAACCAGGCGUGGUGGCAAGUGCCUGUAGUCCCAGCUACUCAGGAGGCUGAGAUAUGAGAGUCGCUUGAACCUGGGAGGAGGAGGCUGCAGUGAGCCAAGAUCACACCACUGGACUCUAGCCUGGGCACAGAGCCAGACUCUGUGUCAAAAAAAAAAAAAAAAAAAGAUAUCUUUUAUCUGUUGUCCCUCCUAUGAUUUUUGUAUUUUAAUCAGAGCUUUGUGAAAGGGCCAAAUGAAUUAACCUCAAGGGAUAGAAAAACAGGGACAGGAACAGUCUAGAGAUCUUUCUAUCCCAAAUGCAGCUGUUGGAAACACUGGUCCUUUCCCUCAGAUAUUCUCCAGUCUAACGCUGACUUUGAAUUAAGAAGAAUGGGGGUGACUGCUUAAGAAUCAUCACAGAUCUGUUCGAUCAAGUUUGGCCUAAAAAUCUCUCUGUGCAUCAUCAACUGUAACAAGUGGAGACAUAAACAGACCAUAGCCUACACUUGUGCCAAUCACCGAGUUUUGGCCAAUCAAAUGUAGCCAACUGUCCAAACUGUGUUCAGAUAAGGCAAACUGUCACCAGGCAGGUUGUUUCUGUAACUCACUUCUGUUUUCUGUACCUCACUUUCCUUUUUCUGUCCAUAAAUCUUCUUCUACCACAUGGCCGUGCUGGCGUCUCUGGGCAUACUCUGACUCAGGGGGCUGACCGAUUUAUGAAUCGUUCAUUGUUCAAUUCAACUCUUUUAAAGUUAAUUCAGCUGAAGUUUUUCUUUUAUCAGAUCAAAGACUUAAUCCAGGAAACAGGUUGGUCAAGGCUAAAAUAGGCUCAACAUCAUUCUCUACAUUAAAUAUUAUAGCACAAGGGAACUCACAGCCAUUCUCUUUUUAGAUUUUACUCUUCUCCAUGCUGAAUACAAAGAAAAUAGGUUGGCAGUUAACAGGACAUACGUAAAGUGACUAAUGUUAGCAAAGAAAAAUCACCAAAAAUAGGAAAUUCAUAACACGGACUUGGAUGGUUUACUUCCUCAGGAUCACUCAUAAAUCUCAACGUGUCUGACUAAAAUCUACUCAUUAGCAAAAUGAAAGAAAACUUAUGGAAGACCAAUGAUUUGGGAUGAGCUUCUUCUGCACUAGGUCUCAACAGACCAACCCAAAAUGGAGUCACUUACGCUAAUGUUCCCAUUCACCAAACUGAACUAAACUGUUUACUUGUACGAUCUCACCUGAGAAGUCAAGAGAGAGAUGAUAGCCAAACCCCCAGACAGGACCAAGAAGCAAAGAUGGAUGUGGGUGUGUGACUAGAGGAUCCUGAAGAGCAGAAGAUUAGUCACAUGUGCUGUGAUCGCCUGUUUGCCCUGCAAAGCACGUGUCUCUUACUAACAUCAAUAGAAUCUGAACCCAUGGAACAGAUCUUUGUCAAUUAUUAUUGUUAUUAGUUUUCUUUUUUAUUUAAUGGUUAAGAUUCUGCACCCUCUUCAGGUUUCUAGAUUUCUUUUCUUAUGUAUCUUGAUGAGAAGCAAAACUUGCUUCCCAUUGUAGAAGUGGAAGGCUCAUUUCCCAGCCUCCUUUGCAGUUGGGGUUCGGAAUAUGACUGAGCUCUUUGUCAGAUACACCCCUCUAGUGGGACAAGGAAACUGUGAGGAGGAGGAACAUUUCUGGAGGUUGUUCACAGCACUGUCAACAAUGUGGACUUUCUAGUGACAACAGUGGCUGAAGAGUACCAGAUGCAGAGUGACUGGUGACAUCAGGGGCAAGCUGUGACGUCCAGCUUUAUCCUAGAUGGGCUCUGGAGCAAAAUUUUGGCUGUGGUCCUGGCGGCUGCCAGGGCUUAUUUGCUCCUGCUCAAUUCUUAAGCCUUGUUUUGAAGCCUGUGAAAUACACAAUACCCUUUUAUUAAAUGCUUUUUCUGCUGAACUCAACCA